rnacentral:misc_RNA from 1 species
UUUAUGUUGGAUGGACAAUUAAAUCAAAGAAAAAUCAUCACAGAGAUGAAAGAAAGAGGUAACAUAUGCAAACAUCAGAACACAAAUAAAUGCAUAAAGCAUAAGACCAUAAGUUAUUUAGUAUUUAAAAUAUAUGGAAUAUAGUAUGCUGCAAAGAGAUGUAUAUUACAGCUUAAAGUUCGUAAGUGUUUCUGCAUUUAUCACUUAAAAAAUUAUGCUACUUAUAAAAUUUUAAUGCUGUCUACUCAAUUUUUAUGAGUUGCACUUUGAAUCUAAUGAAACGUGUUCAGCACAUAAUGUUCUGUGG